AGGCAGCAGUAGGGAAUCUUCCGCAAUGGGCGAAAGCCUGACGGAGCAACGCCGCGUGAGUGAUGAAGGUCUUCGGAUCGUAAAACUCUGUUAUUAGGGAAGAACAUAUGUGUAAGUAACUGUGCACAUCUUGACGGUACCUAAUCAGAAAGCCACGGCUAACUACGUGCCAGCAGCCGCGGUAAUACGUAGGUGGCAAGCGUUAUCCGGAAUUAUUGGGCGUAAAGCGCGCGUAGGCGGUUUUUUAAGUCUGAUGUGAAAGCCCACGGCUCAACCGUGGAGGGUCAUUGGAAACUGGAAAACUUGAGUGCAGAAGAGGAAAGUGGAAUUCCAUGUGUAGCGGUGAAAUGCGCAGAGAUAUGGAGGAACACCAGUGGCGAAGGCGACUUUCUGGUCUGUAACUGACGCUGAUGUGCGAAAGCGUGGGGAUCAAACAGGAUUAGAUACCCUGGUAGUCCACGCCGUAAACGAUGAGUGCUAAGUGUUAGGGGGUUUCCGCCCCUUAGUGCUGCAGCUAACGCAUUAAGCACUCCGCCUGGGGAGUACGACCGCAAGGUUGAAACUCAAAGGAAUUGACGGG
rnacentral:rRNA from 1 species